AGGUUGAGAGCAGGGGCCCCGGAACAUCACUGUAACAGGGAGAAGACUUGAGCAUCUGGCACCUUUACAGAUUGCAGCAUCCUGGAACGGAAUGAAAGGAUCUGUGCAGAGACGGCAAAAGUCGGGUUACAGUAGACCCUGAGCAAAACAGAGUGGACUCCAGCCUGCGUGGAUGAUCUUGAAACAGGAAUGGUUUGGGGUAAGUCACCCCACUGGGGUUGGCGUUUACCUGUUUUAAAUUCAUGUGGAGUAUUUAUUUGGUGUUCCGGGAUCGGUUAGUGAAUAAGAUGCAUAGCUAUUUUCCCCCCAUAGCUCAAGCAAUACGACUUCAGGGCAAGACACAUGUGGUUAGGAAAAAUGAAACAAAACCAACAAAUGAACCAACCAAAA
rnacentral:lncRNA from 1 species